UACGAAGGGGGCUAGCGUUGCUCGGAAUCACUGGGCGUAAAGCGCUCGUAGGUGGCUCGCUAAGUCAGGUGUGAAAUCCUGGAGCUCAACUCCAGAACUGCCUUUGAUACUGGCAAUCUCGAGUCCGGGAGAGGUGAGUGGAACUGCGAGUGUAGAGGUGAAAUUCGUAGAUAUUCGCAAGAACACCAGUGGCGAAGGCGGCUCACUGGCCCGGUACUGACGCUGAGGUGCGAAAGCGUGGGGAGCAAACAGG
rnacentral:rRNA from 1 species